rnacentral:rRNA from 1 species
AGCAGUGGGGAAUUUUGGACAAUGGGCGCAAGCCUGAUCCAGCAAUGCCGCGUGAGUGAAGAAGGCCUUCGGGUUGUAAAGCUCUUUUGUCAGGGAAGAAGCGGUGAGAGCUAAUAUCUCUUGCUAAUGACGGUACCUGAAGAAUAAGCACCGGCUAACUACGUGCCAGCAGCCGCGGUAAUACGUAGGGUGCAAGCGUUAAUCGGAAUUACUGGGCGUAAAGCGUGCGCAGGCGGUUUUGUAAGUUUGUCGUGAAAGCCCCGGGCUCAACCUGGGAAUUGCGAUGAAGACUGCAAGGCUUGAAUCUGGCAGAGGGGGGUAGAAUUCCACGUGUAGCAGUGAAAUGCGUAGAGAUGUGGAGGAACACCGAUGGCGAAGGCAGCCCCCUGGGUCAAGAUUGACGCUCAUG